rnacentral:lncRNA from 12 species
GAAAGCCUGGCUCUAGGCAUCCAAGAUGUCCCACUGUGGCCAGCAGGCAGCCUGCCCACAGCAGGGCAAUGAAGUUCUUCCAGCAGCUCUGCCUUUAAGCAAGAGCUAAGAGCUAAGAGCCAGGUCUGGGAGGACACAGGGUGGUGAGGAUGUCUGAACUCCUUCUGCUGAGGUAUAAAACCCGAGGUAAGGCUUGUGUGUGCUUCCCUGAGUCCCGUCAUGACACAACAGGUGCUGCAGAGACCCGGAGAGCAGCUGUAAGGUCAGGGAGCUUCAGGAAAUUCACGUGGAGAGACCCAAGCCCCAGUUAGCAAUGAUGAUUCUUUGUGGAUGUUCUCUGGAGACUGCAUCUCCUAAAGCCUUCUACUGCAACCAGAACUCUCAGUGGCCACCUUCCCUUGAUUUUCGGAACGGUUUCCAUCACUGAAGGGCCAUGGAGAGGUUUGAAAAUCUGGUAUUGGA